GACGAACGCUGGCGGCGUGCUUAACACAUGCAAGUCGAACGGAAAGGCCCUGCUUGCAGGGUACUCGAGUGGCGAACGGGUGAGUAACACGUGGGUGAUCUGCCCUGCACUUCGGGAUAAGCCUGGGAAACUGGGUCUAAUACCGGAUAGGAGCCAUUUUUAGUGUGAUGGUUGGAAAGUUUUUUCGGUGUAGGAUGAGCUCGCGGCCUAUCAGCUUGUUGGUGGGGUAAUGGCCUACCAAGGCGGCGACGGGUAGCCGGCCUGAGAGGGUGGACGGCCACAUUGGGACUGAGAUACGGCCCAGACUCCUACGGGAGGCAGCAGUGGGGAAUAUUGAACAAUGGGCGCAAGCCUGAUGCAGCGACGCCGCGUGGGGGAUGACGGCCUUCGGGUUGUAAACUCCUUUCGCUAGGGACGAAGCUUUUUGUGACGGUACCUAGAGAAGAAGCACCGGCUAACUACGUG
rnacentral:rRNA from 1 species